rnacentral:rRNA from 1 species
GGAACUGAGACACGGUCCAGACUCCUACGGGAGGCAGCAGUGGGGAAUAUUGGACAAUGGGCGAAAGCCUGAUCCAGCGAUGCCGCGUGAAGGAUGAAGCCUUCGGGUUGUAAACUUCUUUUCUGGGGGAAGACUAAUGACGGUACCUCAGGAAUAAGCGACGGCUAACUACGUGCCAGCAGCCGCGGUAAUACGUAGGUCGCGAGCGUUAUCCGGAAUUACUGGGCGUAAAGCGUCUGUAGCCGGAUGUAUAAGUCUGUCUUUAAAUACUCUGAUUCAAUCGGAGAAAAGGGAUAGAUACUGUAUAUCUAGAGGAUGGUAGGGGUAAGUGGAAUUUCCGGUGGAGCGGUGAAAUGCGUAGAUAUCGGAAGGAACGCCAAAAGCGAAAGCAGCUAACUAUAAAAUAUCUGACGGUCAGAGACGACAGCUUGGGGAGCGAACGGGAUUAGAUACCCCGGUAGUCCAAGCCGUAAAUGAUGCUUGCUAGAUGUUUGUCUCGCUAUGCGGGAUGAGUGUCGUACCUAACGGGUUAAGCAAGCCGCCUGGGAAGUAUACUCGCAAGAGUGAAACUCAAAGGGAUAGGCGGGGGAACACACAAGCAGUGGAUUAUCUAGAUUAAUUGGAUAAUAAGCCAAGAAUCUUACCUAGACUUGACAUACAUUGUGUCAUAUAAGAAAUUAUGUUAUUCCUAGCAAUAGGAAGCUAUGUACAGGUGGUGCAUGGUCGUCGUCAGCUCGUGCCGCAAGGUGUCUAGUUAAGUCUAGUAACGAGCGCAACCCUCGUCGUAUGUUAGAAUGUCAUACGAGACUGCUUCGGUAACGAAGAGGAAGGAGAGGAUGAUGUCAGAUCCUCAUGCCCCUUAUGUCUAGGGCGUCAUAGAUAAUACAAUGGGUAGGACAGCGUGAAGCAAUAUCGUGAGAUGGAGCAAAACAUUAAAC